rnacentral:rRNA from 1 species
UCUUGCGUAUUAGAGAGUUUGUUUCCUUUCCUGCUUAAUCAUUUUACAACCGUAAGGGCUUCUUCCUUCCCGCGGCAUGGCUGGAUCAGGGUUGCCCCCAUUGUCCAAAAUUCCCCACUGCUGCCUCCCGUAGG